UACGUAGGGUGCAAGCGUUUAAUCGGAAUUACUGGGCGUAAAGCGUGCGCAGGCGGUGAUGUAAGUCAGACGUGAAAUCCCCCGGCUUAACCUGGGAACUGCGUCUGAUACUGGACGGCUGGAGUUUGGGAGAGGAUGUAGAAUUCCAGGUGUAGCGGUGAAAUGCGUAGAUAUCUGGAGGAAUACCGGUGGCGAAGGCGGUUCUCUGGACAGUUCCUGACACUGAGGCACGAAGGCCAGGGGAGCAAACGGG
rnacentral:rRNA from 1 species